UACGUAGGGUGCGAGCGUUAAUCGGAAUUACUGGGCGUAAAGUGUGCGCAGGCGGCCGCGCAAGUCGAGUGUGAAAUCCCCGAGCUUAACUUGGGAAUUGCGCUCGAAACUACGUGGCUAGAGUGUGGCAGAGGAAGGUGGAAUUCCACGUGUAGCGGUGAAAUGCGUAGAGAUGUGGAGGAACACCGAUGGCGAAGGCAGCCUUCUGGGCCAACACUGACGCUCAUGCACGAAAGCGUGGGGAGCAAACAGG
rnacentral:rRNA from 1 species